UACAGAGGGUGCGAGCGUUGUCCGGAAUCAUUGGGCGUAAAGAGCGUGUAGGCGGCCUGGUAAGUCCGCUGUGAAAGUCCAGGGCUCAACCCUGGAAUGCCGGUGGAAACUGUCAGGCUCGAGUCCGGAAGAGGCGAGUGGAAUUCCUGGUGUAGCGGUGAAAUGCGCAGAUAUCAGGAGGAACACCGGUGGCGAAGGCGGGUCUCUGGGCCGAUACUGACGCUGAGGAGCGAAAGC
rnacentral:rRNA from 1 species